rnacentral:rRNA from 1 species
UAACACGUGGGUAACCUGCCUGUAAGACUGGGAUAACUCCGGGAAACCGGAGCUAAUACCGGAUAGUUCCUUGAACCGCAUGGUUCAAGGAUGAAAGACGGUUUCGGCUGUCACUUACAGAUGGACCCGCGGCGCAUUAGCUAGUUGGUGAGGUAACGGCUCACCAAGGCGACGAUGCGUAGCCGACCUGAGAGGGUGAUCGGCCACACUGGGACUGAGACACGGCCCAGACUCCUACGGGAGGCAGCAGUAGGGAAUCUUCCGCAAUGGACGAAAGUCUGACGGAGCAACGCCGCGUGAGUGAUGAAGGUUUUCGGAUCGUAAAGCUCUGUUGUUAGGGAAGAACAAGUGCAAGAGUAACUGCUUGCACCUUGACGGUACCUAACCAGAAAGCCACGGCUAACUACGUGCCAGCAGCCGCGGUAAUACGUAGGUGGCAAGCGUUGUCCGGAAUUAUUGGGCGUAAAGGGCUCGCAGGCGGUUUCUUAAGUCUGAUGUGAAAGCCCCCGGCUCAACCGGGGAGGGUCAUUGGAAACUGGGAAACUUGAGUGCAGAAGAGGAGAGUGGAAUUCCACGUGUAGCGGUGAAAUGCGUAGAGAUGUGGAGGAACACCAGUGGCGAAGGCGACUCUCUGGUCUGUAACUGACGCUGAGGAGCGAAAGCGUGGGGAGCGAACAGGAUUAGAUACCCUGGUAGUCCACGCCGUAAACGAUGAGUGCUAAGUGUUAGGGGGUUUCCGCCCCUUAGUGCUGCAGCUAACGCAUUAAGCACUCCGCCUGGGGAGUACGGUCGCAAGACUGAAACUCAAAGGAAUUGACGGGGGCCCGCACAAGCGGUGGAGCAUGUGGUUUAAUUCGAAGCAACGCGAAGAACCUUACCAGGUCUUGACAUCCUCUGACAACCCUAGAGAUAGGGCUUUCCCUUCGGGGACAGAGUGACAGGUGGUGCAUGGUUGUCGUCAGCUCGUGUCGUGAGAUGUUGGGUUAAGUCCCGCAACGAGCGCAACCCUUGAUCUUAGUUGCCAGCAUUUAGUUGGGCACUCUAAGGUGACUGCCGGUGACAAACCGGAGGAAGGUGGGGAUGACGUCAAAUCAUCAUGCCCCUUAUGACCUGGGCUACACACGUGCUACAAUGGACAGAACAAAGGGCUGCGAGACCGCAAGGUUUAGCCAAUCCCACAAAUCUGUUCUCAGUUCGGAUCGCAGUCUGCAACUCGACUGCGUGAAGCUGGAAUCGCUAGUAAUCGCGGAUCAGCAUGCCGCGGU